rnacentral:rRNA from 1 species
GACGAACGCUGGCGGCGUGCUUAACACAUGCAAGUCGAACGGAAAGGCCCUGCUUUUGUGGGGUGCUCGAGUGGCGAACGGGUGAGUAACACGUGAGUAACCUGCCCUUGACUUUGGGAUAACUUCAGGAAACUGGGGCUAAUACCGGAUAGGAGCUCCUGCUGCAUGGUGGGGGUUGGAAAGUUUCGGCGGUUGGGGAUGGACUCGCGGCUUAUCAGCUUGUUGGUGGGGUAGUGGCUUACCAAGGCUUGGACGGGUAGCCGGCCUGAGAGGGUGACCGGCCACAUUGGGACUGGGAUACGGCCCAGACUCCUACGGGAGGCAGCAGUGGGGAAUAUUGCACAAUGGGCGGAAGCCUGAUGCAGCAACGCCGCGGGCGGGAUGACGGCCUUCGGGUUGUAAACCGCUUUCGCCUGUGACGAAGCGUGAGUGACGGUAAUGGGUAAAGAAGCACCGGCUAACUACGUG